AUCAAGCUGUUAACUUUUCCCCUGCAUCUGUCGAUGGCCACUGGGUCCCUCGCGUGCCGCCACCGACGCCUCGGAACGAUCUCAGACCACACCAGCAUCACCCCAGGAAGCAGAUCGAACAACCUGUUCAGGUCCUGCUUCAUCCAUUUAACCAACCGACGUUGCGGGAUGAGGCCCAGGUCAUUGCCCCCCGCGUGCAGAACUAGCAUAUCUGGCCUCGCCCCGCCUGCUACCAUCCGAAUUAUCGCCCCGCACACGUCGCCCCAGCCAAACCCCUUAAAGCCCAACCAUCGCACUGUUAGGAGGUCUAUCGGGAAGCCCAGCUGUUGGCCCUGGGCUCGAGCUGC